UAAUAGAAACUGAAUGCC
rnacentral:siRNA from 1 species